AGCGAACGCUGGCGGCAGGCUUAGCACAUGCAAGUCGAGCGGAGAGAGGUAGCUUGCUACCGAUCUUAGCGGCGGACGGGUGAGUAAUGCCUAGGAAUCUGCCUGGUAGUGGGGGACAACGUUUCGAAAGGAACGCUAAUACCGCAUACGUCCUACGGGAGAAAGCAGGGGACCUUCGGGCCUUGCGCUAUCAGAUGAGCCUAGGUCGGAUUAGCUAGUAGGUGAGGUAAUGGCUCACCUAGGCGACGAUCCGUAACUGGUCUGAGAGGAGGAUGAGCCACACUGGAACUGGGACAAGGUCCAGACUCCUACGGGAGGCAGCAGGGGGGAAUAUUGGACAAUGGGCGAAAGCCUGAUCCAGCCAUGCCGCGUGUGUGAAGAAGGUCUUCGGAUUGUAAAGCACUUUAAGUUGGGAGGAAGGGCAGUAAGUUAAUACCUUGCUAUUUUGACGUUACCAACAGAAUAAGCACCGGCUAACUUCGUGCCAGCAGCCGCGGUAAUAC
rnacentral:rRNA from 1 species